rnacentral:rRNA from 1 species
GAGUUUGAUCCUGGGCUCAGGAUGAACGCUGGCGGCGUGCCUAAUACAUGCAAGUCGAACGAGAGUGCUUGCACUCUAGUGGCGAACGGGUGAGUAACACGUAGGUAACCUGCCUUACAGUUGGGAUACCCUGGCGAAAGCUAGGCUAAUACCGAAUAAUUGGAUUGGAGGCAUCUCCGAUCUCUAAAAGGGGGCCCUUAAAGCCUCGCUGAAUGAUGGACCUGCGGCGCAUUAGCUAGUUGGUGAGAUAACAGCCCACCAAGGCGAGGAUGCGUAGCCGACCUGAGAGGGUGAACGGCCACACUGGAACUGAGACACGGUCCAGACUCCUACGGGAGGCAGCAGUAGGGAGUUUUCGGCAAGUGGGGGCCAACCCUGACCGAGCAACGCCGCGUGAAUGAUAGAAGGUCUUCGGAUUGUAAAGUUCUGUUAUAAGGGAAAAUGAUAUGGUGAGGAAAUGCUCCAUAUUUGAUGGUACCUUAUUAGAAAGCCACGGCUAACUACGUGCCAGCCGCCGC